GAGGUUUUUCCAUGUAACAUCAACAGAAAGCAAAGCUGUAUCAAAUAGGGCCAAAUUCAAGAAGAUGCCAGUGAAGCACUAGGGCACAGCCUUGAUCACAAACCCCAAAGGAAUACUACUUUAAAUUUUAAAACUGCUCAAUUAAUAUGAAUAAGUGAGGUGGUUUGUGUUUGCUUAGUACAAUGCAAAUCACUGAGGAUGUUUGCAGGAAACCUGUUCUCCUUGAUAACUCCUGCUGUCUCUGCAACACCUGCAAAGAUCUUUCCCUGCUAGAGGAGAAACAAGUGGCCUAGAAGAAAAGAGUUCCUCUUUUCCCAACUAUCUGGGACACUUUAAAUAAUGUUGUUUCAAAAUGACAAGAAUGGCGACAUGUUUAUAUCUGCUGUUCCUUUUUGGGUUGGCCUCAUGAGGCAGUUCUUACUGUCAAAUCUUCCACAGCAGGAUGUGUGCACAGAAGAUUACUGCAGGCACUACCCAGAGGAUUAAAAAAAUACAUAUUACAUAUCAUAGGAAAACAGGACAGCUCUUCUAUGUUCUCCGUAGAGGGUCAGAAAUAGGAUGUGUUAUACACCUAGGUUUAUGUCUGCACAGUUUAUGUCCUGCAGCAUGCUGAUUUGAAUAUAUUUAAAGGAAACAAGAAGGAGUUAUGUGGUGGGAGAAAGGUAAAGAAAUAAAAUUAAGUGACAGGUGUAUAUUAGUUUGCUAGGGCUGCAGUAAUAAGGAACCAUGAAUUGAGUGGCUUAAAACAUCAGAAAUGUAUUGUCUCAUGGUUCUGGAGGCUAGAAGUUCAAGAUCAAGUUGCCGGCAGGGUUGGGCCCUUCUAAAGACUGGGAGCGACACUGUUUCAUGCCUCUCCCCUAGCUUCUGAUGGGUAGCUGGCAAUCUUGGCAUCUUCUGGCUUGUAGACACAUUAUCCUGAUCUCUGCUAUUAUCUUCACAUGAAGUUCUCAUGAUGUUCUCCCUGUGUGUCUAUCUGUGUGUCCAAAUUUCACCUAUUUAUGAGGACACCAGUCAUAGUGAAGUCACUAUGACCUCGUCUUAACUCAUUAAAUUUGCAAUGUUCUAUUUCCAAAUAAGGUCACAUUCUGAGGUACAGGGAGUUAGGACUUCAACAUAUGAAUGAGGACUGGGGGGUAGCACAAUGCAACCCAUGCCACAGAACUCUAAAGCGCAUGGCCAUGGAAAAGGACACUAGUAAUAAGUUACGGAAACUACUCAGUCCAGUAUCUGGGCAGAAUCACUAUUCCAUAUAAGGUAAGUGGAGGAUUAUCAUCAUUCUUAUUUUUAUUUUGUUUUGGUUUGGUUUUUCACCUUCUUUUCCUAAUCUGAUCAAAGUACAGGCCAUUUCUAGAAUUCUUUUUCCAAAAGUUCUUCACCUCCAAAGCAAUAAAAUAUAAGCUAUAUCAGAUCUUUGGAUGCCACAGAGUCUAUACUCUUCUAAAAUCACAAUAUAGGCAUAAAGUAAACUUUUGGUAUUUGAUGUCUCUUGACUAUUCAGUUACUGACUUUGUCCCUUUGUCCUCCCUUCAGGUUUUGUGUGUUUUAUGGCAUGUUUAUAAAAACCUGAGAAUAUAGUUUUCUCAUCUGUAAAAUGGGGCUAUGACUAUUUGCCUUACAACAGUAUUACAGGGGCAGAUAUAGCCAUGGGCGAAAACCAUAUAAAAGUUCAAAAGUACCAAGUAUUGAUAAGGGUAGGAACCAACAUUAACUCACUGUUUGUAAGAUUAGAAAUGGAAAUAAUCACUCUGGGAAUAUUGGUAAUAUAUAAUAAAGCUGAAAAUAUAGAUACCCUACUUAAAGCUAAAUAUACAUACUUCCUCUGACCCAGCAAUUCCAUCCUCCAUAAUUGCAAGCUUAUGUACACCAAGAUAUAUGCAAAAAAAAAAAAAAUGGUCAUAGCAUAGAACUUCAAACCCAGAUGUUAUAGAAUGGAGUUUUAAAAUUGUAGCAUAUUCAUAUAAUGGUUACUAAAUCACAAUAAAAAUAAGUGAACUAUGAAUAUAUGGAACAGUGUGGAUAAUUCAUAGAUAUGUAAGUUGUAUAAAAGGAAAUUAGGAAAAUAGAAUAUGCAUUGUGCCAGCAUUUACAUGAAAUUUGAAAUCUGAUUAACGAAACUAUUCAUGAAUUUAUUUAUUUAUGGAUAAAACUAUAGAGAAAAGCAAGGAAGUAUUAUGAAAGACAGGAGAGUUUCUGUUAGAGGGGAAGAAGUAAUUAUGAUUGGGAAGAGACAUGGGGAAAAUCCAGGCUGCUGGUUAUGUUAUAAUGCCUUGAUGUGGGUAGGUGUUUUAUCUGUGUUCAUUUAUAAUUACUCCGAGGUUAACCAUUUAUGUUUUAUUCAAUUUCCUAUUCUUCUAUCUGUAUUAUAAAAUAAAUGAAAAAAAUAUACAAUCACAUAUAUAAUGCACCUAAGAUAGUGUGUGGUAGCUAUUAGGUGCUUUAAAAAAAAAGGAUAGCAAUUCCCACCCCCAUCGCCACCUCCUGGAGAAUAAAAGAUAGGUGAAAAUGAUAUGCAAAAUACCAUAUUUUAAAGGUUUUAACUAAAAGCAAUGGACUCACUUAGGUUGCUUUUCAUAUAGGAGAAGUAAAAUGUAUUUAUUUGGGAAGGAGACUCUCAGGGAAUCCACUACUUGAGGAAAUUCAACAUGAGAGUCAUCAGCAGAUGUCAAACAGACCUUCAACCUCAUUUAGAAAUCUUGAAAUUCAAUAUUCAGACUCAUGCAGCAAAUGGGCACAUGGGGUUUGGGGGGGAUUAGGAAAGAGGUCUACACACCCUAUUUAAUGAUGUAGAGCUGCUCUUCCAGGCAGUGGUGCUCAAAGAGGCCCCCACUGCUUGUAUUUAAAUGAGAUUCUGGCACAGCAGCGAGGUGAAUGGUGGAUCAACGCCUAAAGCAGCAAUCUACUAAACAUCUCCGUGACUGGGGAAACCCCAAAGGGCUACAUCCAAACCUUCGUACCUGCAGCCAUUAAUGACUUCUAGAGGAGCAGAGCUCAGGGAGGGACAACAAUAGGUGAGAAGUCAAUUUAAUUUUCAUUCCCUGCCAGACCAUAUUCUUAACAUAACCCAAUGAGAAUUUAUGUCAGAUGCACAUUGUAUAUCUGUCCCUGAUUUAAAUGGCAGAUCUCGUCUCCAUUUCAGAUUCAUUCUUGGGCCUUUAGCUGCAUUUAUUGAAAAGUGGCUGUAUUCACUAUGAACCAAUUUUUCCCUUGGGUUUUAUUACUGAAAUCAUCAAAAUAAAUCACCUAGAAUGCUCCAUCCUACCUGGUUUGAAAGCCAUUGGGGAAACGGUGAAAUUCUUUUUUUAAAAAAAUACAUACUAGAAACACGUUUGUGCACCUGAGACAAUGAUUAGCUAUUGAAUUGAAAUUGCUUUACAUGUCAUAAGGAAAAGUACUAUUUAAACAAGAGUAGCAUUGGAACAGACGGUGGACAUCAAUCCUUAGGAUAUUAACCUGUGAACCAGAGGAUUACAAUAGCAUGCCAAUUUUCACAAACUAGUUCUGGUGUUUGGAAUUAGUCUUCCUUUUCUAUGUUCUUUUUGUCCUAGUUUUUCCGGGAUGAAAAAAAGGAAAGAAAAAUAAAGGCUACCCUGCAAGAGCCCCCUUUGUUAACACACACUGUUUGCAUCCUGGCUCAAGUGUGAAUCCUCCUACCAAGCUGUAAAUCUUCACUCCUGCUUUUCUACAGAAUCCAAGAACAACUUUGUUUGCAAACUUGCUUUGGAAAUGAGAGUGAGGUAAGUUUUCCAGUGUCUGACAGCUAGGAAGUACCAGGACACUGUAUCUCAAAGACUCCAAGUUGAGACCUUUCCUGUGUGCCACAAUGCCGGAACAAACUCCCUCCCCGAGUACGAGAUUCCAGAAGCAGAACCGUGGACAAUUUUUAAACUCAGAAAGCCUCCUGUGGAGUUGGGACUCACAGCUCACAGCCACGAAAUCACUGUCCAUUAACUGUUUGGUUUCCUGAGAGCAGAGAUUAGGGAUCCUCAGUCUUGCCUGUAUAUCAAUACCACCUGGGACCACUCAGACCAGGUGAAUCAAUGUCCCUGCAGGUUGGGCCCAGGUAAUGGUUUAUUACGUGUUCUAUGUAAGUUUAGGGUAUAACCAAGUGGUUAGAAUUACUAACUAAAUCAAACCUCUUUACUGACCAAUUACAUUAGAAUGUAAAUUCUC
rnacentral:lncRNA from 1 species